rnacentral:rRNA from 1 species
UACAGAGGGUGCGAGCGUUAAUCGGAAUUACUGGGCGUAAAGCGUGCGUAGACGGUUAUUUAAGUCGGGUGUGAAAGCCCCGGGCUCAACCUGGGAAUUGCAUUCGAGACUGGAUAGCUAGGGUACGGUAGAGGGAAGUGGAAUUUCCGGUGUAGCGGUGAAAUGCGUAGAUAUCGGAAGGAACAUCAGUGGCGAAAGCGACUUCCUGGACCAGUACCGACGUUCAGGCACGAAAGCGUGGGGAGCAAACAGGAUUAGAAACCCUAGUAGUCC